GAUGAACGCUAGCGGGACGCCUAACACAUGCAAGUCGAACGGGAUCCAUACUUCGGUAUGGUGAGAGUGGCAAACGGGCGAGUAACGCGUACUGAACCUGGCCUGGAGUGGAGGAUAACUGCAGAGAUGUAGCUAAUACUCCAUACGCCCUAACAAAUGGGAAUAGUUAGGGGAAAGAUUUAUUGCUCUGGGAGGGUGGUGCGUCCUAUCAGGUAGUUGGUUAGGUAAUGGCUGACCAAGCCUAUGACGGGUAACCGGUCUGAGAGGAUGUCCGGCCACAAUGGGACUGAGAUACGGCCCAUACUCCUACGGGAGGCAGCAGUGGGGAAUCUUGCGCAAUGGGCGAAAGCCUGACGCAGCGAUCCCGCGUGAAGGACGAAGCUCUACGGGGUGUAAACUUCUUUUCUGGAGGAAGACGAAUGACGGUACUUCAGGAAUAAGAGACGGCUAACUACGUGCCAGCAGCCGCGGUAAUACGUAGGUCUCGAGCGUUAUCCGGAGUUACUGGGCGUAAAGUGUCCGUAGCCGGGUUUAUAAGUCUGUUUUCAAAAAUCUCGACUUAAUCGAGGGAAGGGGAUGGAUACUGUAUACCUAGAGGUAUUGAGAGGUUAGUGGAAUUUCCGGUGGAGCGGUGAAAUGCGUUGAUAUCGGAAGGAAUGCCGAAAGCGAAAGCAGCUAACUAUUAAUCACCUGACGGUAAGGGACGAAAGCUUGGGUAGCAAACGGGAUUAGAUACCCCGGUAGUCCAAGCCGUAAAUGAUGCUUGCUAGGUGUCUUACCCGUUCUGCGGGUUGGGGUGCCGAAAGUUAACACGUUAAGCAAGUCGCCUGGGUAGUAUACUCGCAAGAGUGAAACUCAA
rnacentral:rRNA from 1 species